GAGCAACUGAAAGCUGGUCAUCAUCAAUUGCAGCAUUGUGAGGUCCCUUCUACCUAGAUGACUGGAGAACUGGUAGGGUGAUGAAGCAAGAAAUACUGUGCGAAUAAAGGCUGAUCCAUGGCUUACGGUUUAUACCACACAAAGGGUUGUACAUGUGCAGUGCACAGCCAGAAUGAUGUCCCAC